UACGUAGGGCGCAAGCGUUGUCCGGAAUUAUUGGGCGUAAAGAGCUCGUAGGCGGCCUGUUGCGUCCGCUGUGAAAUCCCGGGGCUCAACCCCGGGCCUGCAGUGGAUACGGGCUGGCUAGAGGCAGGCAGGGGAGAACGGAAUUCCUGGUGUAGCGGUGAAAUGCGCAGAUAUCAGGAGGGACACCGGUGGCGAAGGCGGUUCUCUGGGCCUGUACUGACGCUGAGGAGCGAAAGCGUGGGGAGCGAACAGG
rnacentral:rRNA from 1 species